rnacentral:lncRNA from 1 species
CUUUUCUCUUUUAUAGUCUCUAAUUUAUUUGAGCAAGCACGAUAUCUGAUUCAGCAAACUUGGAGUAGCAUUUUCGUGGAUUUUUGUGGGCACCUGAGGCUAAUAGAAAGCGACUACACUUGUAUCUUGGGAGCAGGUCUGUGCCCCUAAAUAUAGGGGUAGAAUUGGAGUGCAAUCUCUAGCCCUCAAGAGACAAGCACUAUUUGGUAAGUUGGCAG